CGCUACGGCGCCCAAUAGCCGGGGCUGGGGGCGGGGCCCGGCCGUCGCCCCUCCCCCCGCUCCCCGACGGGCGGGGCGGGGCCGGGCAGCUGCCGCUGCUGCGGGAGGAGGCCGGAAAAUGGCGGCUGGGGCCCAGAUCCAGACAAGGCCUUGGUGUGAGGAAUUCCACGAGAGCAGUGUGAUCUAGUGGCCAGAGCACUGGACUGGGGCUCGGGAUACCAGCGUUCUGUUCCCAGCUCUGCCACUGGCCUGCUGGGUCACCUUGGAUCUGAAUCACCUCCAGCUCUCUGCAUGCUGUUCCCUGGCUCUGAAAAUGCCUCUGUCCAUCCCCCACUUAGUCUGCCAGUGCUGCUUUUGGUGCAGAAGUGCCACACGACGGGCAUUUUCUACCACACUCUCAAACUGGUCUGUCCGCAGCAAUUACUAUGACCUGCUGGGAGUCAAACAAGACGCCACCAUGGAAGAGAUCAAGCAAGCCUUCUUCGCCAAGUCAAAGAAGCUGCACCCCGACAGCAACCCCAACAACCCUGACCUGCACAGGCAGUUCAUCCAGCUGAACCAGGCCUACCAGGUGCUGAGCAAGGAGGGCAGUAGGAGGCUCUAUGACAGCCAGCGGGCCUGGCAUGCAGCCUGGCCCACCACGGGCAGCAGCCCCAAGCACAGCCCCUUUGACUUCACAGACCAGAGACCCAGGCCUAGUACCAGCAGCCAAGGGCCUGACGAGAACAUUCGCUAUUGGGAGCAGUUCCAUACCCACCGCGCCGAGACCUUCUCAGGCACCCAGGCCAAGCAGAGGCAACGCCGUAACCAGCAGUUCUUCGGCUACUGCCUCCUCCUCAUGCUGGCCAGCAUGGCCACCCACUACAUGGCCUACAGGCUUCUACAACACAGACUGUUAUCAAGAUACCAUGAAAGGGAGCCAAGCUGCAGGAUCGGACCUUGAGAGACCAGGAGAUGGAGAAUCCCCUUCUUCAGACCCUCCUCCCCACUUCCCACUCCCCAAGAGACUAAGGCAGGACUGAUCCCUGCAGCAGCAUUGUCAGGAAGCUGGAGGAGGUGCACAACAGCUUCAUGGACGAGAAGGACAAGCUCAUAACCGGCAUCUACAAUGAAUCCAAGGAGCGGGCCAGGGUCAAUGGCUUCCAGAAGCAGCAGGAGCUCCUGCGCCAGAAACACGC